AUUGAACGCUGGCGGCAGGCCUAACACAUGCAAGUCGAACGGUAACAGGAAGAAGCUUGCUUCUUUGCUGACGAGUGGCGGACGGGUGAGUAAUGUCUGGGAAACUGCCUGAUGGAGGGGGAUAACUACUGGAAACGGUAGCUAAUACCGCAUAACGUCGCAAGACCAAAGAGGGGGACCUUCGGGCCUCUUGCCAUCGGAUGUGCCCAGAUGGGAUUAGGUAGUAGGUGGGGUAACGGCUCACCUAGUCGACGAUCCCUAGCUGGUCUGAGAGGAUGACCAGCCACACUGGAACUGAGACACGGUCCAGACUCCUACGGGAGGCAGCAGUGGGGAAUAUUGCACAAUGGGCGAAAGCCUGAUGCAGCCAUGCCGCGUGUAUGAAGAAGGCCUUCGGGUUGUAAAGUACUUUCAGCGGGGAGGAAGGGAGUAAAGUUAAUACCUUUGCUCAUUGACGUUACCCGCAGAAGAAGCACCGGCUAACUCCGUG
rnacentral:rRNA from 1 species